ACUGAACGCUGGCGGCAUGCUUUACACAUGCAAGUCGAACGGUAACAGGCCGCAAGGUGCUGACGAGUGGCGCACGGGUGAGUAAUGCAUCGGAACGUGCCCAGUCGUGGGGGAUAACUACUCGAAAGAGUAGCUAAUACCGCAUACGAUCUAUGGAUGAAAGCGGGGGACCGUAAGGCCUCGCGCGAUUGGAGCGGCCGAUGUCAGAUUAGGUAGUUGGUGGGGUAAAGGCUCACCAAGCCAACGAUCUGUAGCUGGUCUGAGAGGACGACCAGCCACACUGGGACUGAGACACGGCCCAGACUCCUACGGGAGGCAGCAGUGGGGAAUUUUGGACAAUGGGCGCAAGCCUGAUCCAGCAAUGCCGCGUGCAGGAAGAAGGCCUUCGGGUUGUAAACUGCUUUUGUACGGAACGAAACGGCUCUGGUUAAUACCCGGGGCUAAUGACGGUACCGUAAGAAUAAGCACCGGCUAACUACGUG
rnacentral:rRNA from 1 species